UUGAUUAGUGAUGUCUGCAUGGAACUAAGAAUGGAGGGAUAAUGGCAACCAAACAAUAGACUUUUUACCACUGAAGGGAUUUAUAUUCCCAUGAACAUGCUCCAACCCACGCAAGCUCUACUCCUCUGACAAUGCUGGCCUUGACUGAGCUGGAUACAGCCUGCUUGCCUUGAAAGACAGCUACUCUCAACUCCAACGGAAGGUAUUUUUAGUAUAUCCUGGGUACCAGACAACUGUUCCUAUGUCCUGAAAGAUGAUGAAUUCAUUCAAACAACAAGUCAGGGCUCUGGGUAUCACUCAGCUCCAGCCAGUCAUAACAGCUGCCAAAUAUAAAA